UUGGAAUUACAAUGCAAUUCGAUCCUUCUCUAAAACAAUACUCUCAAUCAUAUCACUAGGGUAUGGAUAUAUUAUGUCAAAACCCUAAUGUGAUUAUUCCUUCUUAUAUGAUUCAAUUGAGUCGUAUAGGAACGCUUUCCUUUAUUACGCUCGAUACUUCGGCUGAAGAUUCCAGAAUCAUAUCUUAGAGUAUUCAUCCUCUCUUAACGAGGAUUAGAGAUUCCUUGUUGCGCAUUUACUUGCCUUCAUGACUAAGUGGCUUAACCCCGAUUAUGCCGUGGACACCCGCGGAUGGAGUGACUUUGACAUAAUCAAAGAUCAAGUACUUAACCACAAGACAACGAUGAUGCCUCAGGUUAAAGGACUACUUACAUUAUUCCAACUAUUAGAGUUACUUGCUUGACAUGUGAGUAGACCUCCAUGCAAGUACU
rnacentral:lncRNA from 1 species